AAAAAAAAAAAAAAAAAAAAACAUCAACACAUUCGGAAUAGGAAAGACCUGCGCGGCACGCCGGAGGACAGCAAAGGCAAGUGGCGCGUGCGCUCUGCAGUGGAGGACGAGGGCGAUGAUGAAGAGAAGGUGCUGGAACUGUGAGAGUCAGUGUUGGAGCAACCAAGCGGCCCAGGGGAGGGGAGAGACAGGCGACGCUCCUGGCCGGGACUCGUGAAGGAUUUAUUUUCAAAAGGUUACGUGGAAAAGGCAGCAGAACGGGGUUGAGAAGGAAAGAUAGACCAGCCAUGAUUGUAUGGAUGAGUGGUACUCGAUGGGCCGAAUGGCCUAAUUCCGCUCCUGCGACUUAUCAAGGGUUGUUGAGAGACUGAAGAGGGGUCGCGACCCGAAACGCCCUCUGCGCAUCCCCUCCUUCCACCGAUGCCGCGGAGCACCUCCGGAAUCUUGGUGCAAGAUUGUGAAAGGUCAAUCGAUGUGAAAACACUAUUAUACAGUGCAGAAAAUGUUGUAUCAGUGUGUCCAUUGGAUAUGUUAAGAAAUUUCCCACAGAGAAAAAAUCUAGAAUGAAAACAUCCAAGAAAUGAAUGAAUGCAUGAAUGUAUAACAAAAUUUGCUAAAUCCAUUGGCUUCCUUGUUAUCUAACAUGCUAGUUUGUUGUCUAACUUGUCAAAUAAGUCAUCAAUUGGUUGAAAAAAAUUUCUCAUCCAUAAAAUUAUACUCACUCAGCUGUAUAAGUAUUCUGUUACCAUUUCCUAAUUUUUCCUAACAAACUGUCCUGAAGUCAUUUUCACCCCCAAUAUUUUCAGUAUUUUGCUGUCUUCCUCUCAGCUGGAACUUUUCUGAAAUGCAAAGUCCAAUAACAAUAUAUAUUUAAGCAAUAAUAUUCUAUUUAAAGUGAUCUUGAGUGUACAUAAUAUUUUUUGUGGUAUUCAUAACACAACAUUGUUUAAAAAAAAGAUCUUUGUUUUGAUUGCACCUACCAAUUGCAUACAUUAUUAUAUUAUAAUUAAUAUGUACCAAGGGCAAUGUUUUGUUCCAAUGCUCCCCAUUCCCAAUUGCUAUUACAUUGAAGUGAUUGAAAACCAAGCUAGAUGAGGUAGUUGAGGCAGGUACUAUCCCAACAUUUAAGAAACAGUUAGACUGAUACAUGGAUAGGACAGGUUUGGAGGGAUAUGGUCCAAAAGCAGGUAGUGUAGCUGGGACAUGUUGGCGGGUGUGGGCAAUUUGUGUCGAAGGGCCUGUUUUCACACUAUCACUCUCUGACCACAUUAUACCUCCACCAUGCAUUAAUGCUUCAAAAUCAAGUGGUCGAGUUUUAUUGACAUAUACUCAAGCAUAGAAAAUAGGUGCAGGAAUAGGCCAUUCGGCCCUUCGAACUAGCACUGCCAUUCAAUAUGAUCAUGGCUGUUCAUCUAAAAUCAGUACCUCUUUCCUGAUUUUUCCCCCAUAUCCCUUGAUUUUGUUAGCACCAAGAGCUAAAUGUAACUCUCUUGAAAAUAUCCAGUAAAUUGGCCUCCACUGCCUUCUGUGGCAGAGAAUUCCACAGAUUCACAACUCUGGGUGAAAAAUGUUUGUCCUCAUUUCAGUCCUAAAUGGCUUACCCCUUUUUCGUAAACUGUGAUCCCUGGUUCUGAAUUCCCCAACAUCGGGAACAUUUUUCCUGCAGUUACAGUAAGUGUAAAUCUAGCAGGCAAGCAGGUAUACUUUCUCCAACCACCUCCAUUUGAAGGCCACUAUCUUCCAGUGCUUGGUACUUACUUCCAGCAGCCAUUGGUUGUCCUCCACGAUGCACCGAGCUGUAGCCUGGUCCAUGCCGGUCACCAGGGCAAAGUGGGCGCAGAGACUCUCAUGUCAGCGGCACAACGCUUUUGACGGCCCGGGACUGUUGCGCUGAGGCUGACCCAUGGCCGGAGCUGCAGCGAGCGACUUGCCAGACUGGCAAACACUCGCCUGCCCUGGCUCCCCGUCCGCAUCUGCCGCUGCUUCUGCUUCCAUUCCUCCCUCUGUCCGGGCUCUCCAACACCUAUGACCAGGUUGCUCAGAGCACAGCAGCGCCUCGUCCUAAGCUGGAGACAUUGAAACAUGUCUAGCCAUAAAAGUGGGCAUCCCCAGCCCCCCCGGUUCCGCGGCCCAUGCACCCCUCCUGCCGCUCGCCGGCCUCGCUCAUGUCAGCCGCUUCCCGCAAAUCCUUAAAUUCCGACUGACGCCGGGAGCAGGACAUGGCCUUGCUGCGCUGGGUGACACUCAUUCACUGCUCGGUCCGUGUCUUACAAUGUAAAUUUGCAUGGGGACAUGGUUUGGAGGUGUGUAAUGGUUCGGUCAAGUUAGAAUAACAGAGAAUUAGAAUGCAGAGAAUAACAGACGCACACACAAGCUGUUGAUAUUAGUUUUGAGAUUCUCGUUGAUCACACAAUUUCUCACGACAGAGCGUUAGAAAUUUGUGAUCAGCGUGAGAAUUGGGCAAAAUGCGUGAUUCUUAUGCUCUGCUGACUGACGCAGUGUGGCAGUACAAUGGCAGAAUUUUAGAGCUAAAUCCUCACAGCUCCAGCCAUUUGGAUUGAAUCCUGACCUGCGCUGUAUGUAUGGAGUUCCUCGUGACCACCUCUAAAUGUUCCUAUUUCCACCCUAUUUAAAAAAAUGUGAGUUGGAAACAAAAUUGACCACUUUGUAGAUGAGUGGCAGAACUGCUGGGAGAAGAGGGAGAGAGUUGAUGGGAAUAUGGAGAGAAUAAAAUGGAAUAUGGUGGGAUUAGUGCAAAUGCAUGCAUAAUGGUCAGUACGGACUCUGUGCCCCAAACACUGUGCUGAAUCUCUCUAAGACUCUGGGCAGAAGGAGACAUAAUCUAAAGAUUAGACAGUGUUCGAUUUUAAUGGGUAUCAUAAAGUGAGAUAGAGAAUAAGAUUGAGGAAGAGAAUACCAGAUCUCAGGUUAUAGAGGAAAGGAAAACUAUGCAAUAGUUGGAUUGGAAGUGGGCUGAAAUCUAAAACGUUUAUACAACAUGACAUAUACAAUUAGGAAAUCUGAAUGAUAACAUGGCUGCUAUCAAUUACCUUUGUUUUUAGCCAGUGAUCAUAGGAUUCCUGAUGAAAGUAUUUGCUUCUCCUUGAAUAAUAGUCGGUUCAAGGUACUUUUAUUUGUGUGCACAUGCUUAGUGAAUCCACUAGAGUGCAGGAUUGAUAUUGCUUUAUUAUUGUCACAUGUACCAGGAUUCAGUGAAACAUUUUGUUUGCAUGCUAUCCAUAUAAAUCAUAACAAGUGCUCGUUAAUGAUUUGACACAA